AAAAAAAAACCAUCCUUUUCUCUAUCUUUGGCUCUCUCUCACGCUAACUGCCCCCCUCUCUGUAAAAAUUUGAUAACUCCUCUACUCCCUCCGAUCAGUCACCAUGACAACUCCGGCCCCUCCACUAUGAUACGAGUAGCACACACCACCAAUCACAGCUCUCAAUUUCCCCUACUUUCUCUUAAUUUUGGAGCUUAAGUUGCAAACCCACCUCCACUUAGCUUCCAAAAUAGUUGAAAUUAGAGGAGAACCAGGUUUCAGUGCAAGUAACAAAGGAGAUGACAAGAUCAUGGAGUAAAUGAAUAAAUACAUGGAGUUUUAUUGAUGUGUACAGACUAUUGCGAAGAAUGUCUCUGGUCGUUUGGAAGAUCCAUAGCCGCUGCAAAGCAAUUCCGCCUUUCAAUUCAUUAUUGAUCAAGGUACGCUUCCGCUCUUCUGUUGUGCUCCUUCUCCGUCGUUCUCGGCUAAUCAUCAUAGAGAGCUUUAUAUAAUUGUUCAUUUAAUUAUUUCAACAUAGUGGGCAUGCCAUAGGACAGCAGUACUACACACAUGUUUGAUCAUUCGUCUUAUGGAUAACCGAAGCGAUGAUCCACAAGAUAUGUUGACAGAUGAUAUGUGCCCUAUACGGGUAAUAUGUGACAGAUGCCUUAUGAUAGGCCAUAUGGGAGAGGUACAACAUAUGAUAGUACCUCAUACAGAUAGCAUCUGAUAGUACCUCAUACAGAUGUAUAUGACAAAUGCCCACAUCGGGCUAUCUAUAGUGUCUGUGUACCCGUGUCCAUCACUAAGCAUAACUUGGGGCUAAAAUGUGUUAUCUAUUUGAGAAAUGAUAGUUGUGCUUUCACAUUUAUUAGAUGAUUAUGAUUGUUUCAAAGUAUGUAUAUUGCCUUGACUGGUGAAAGAAAGUGACAGGGACAAGAUUAUGUGUUAUAUCGUGCUAUAUGUGCUAAAGAAAUUAUCAAUAUGUUAUGAAUGACUCGGGUUAUAUUCUCUAUUGAUUAAUGAGAGAAAGUGAUAAAGUGACAAGAGGAUGAUAUGUUAUAUGAUGAUGAAUCUGACAGGUAACAUGUAACAUGUUGUCGAGAGUAUAGUUUGAUUGUUAAGAUCAUUGUGGUUGACCAGUAUCAUAUUAUUAUUUCAAAGUGCAACCUAUUUGUUUAUACAGUUAUACUUGUUCAAUCACUCCUAUGAUCCGACAGAUUUAUUUGGUGGAAAAUAUGAUUUGGUUAACAGGUUGCUAGUAUACUAACGUUGAGAGUACAGUUUUAUUUAUAGGAUUAUGUUUGAUAUAUGAUUUUAUAGAAUCAAUAGUAUAUGGAAUGAUAUUUUUGAUUGAUACCAGAUUGGGAGAUUGAGAUUUAAUAUAAAUAGAUGUUGAACGACUUUCCAGGUAACAAAGCUAUCACUUUGUGAUAGUGUUGUCGAUGGAAAUCUUAGGGAAUAUAUUUGGGAAUGCGGUUACACUACGAGCUUAAGCUCACCUCCCUUUCUCUUCCCUUUUGCAAAGUAUAGUGGCGAGAGAUCUCGCUAGAUGGGCAGGUGUGUGUGUCAAGUCACUGUCUUAUUUGUCGAGGAAGUUAAAGUGGUGUGUACGUGGCAUGUUUAGUUUUGGACAUGUAGAUAUAGAUCCAGCCAUUUCCAAUUUCAGAAGCCCAACUUGUACGAUUCAUAUAUCUUUGUACUCUAUUUAUACAACUUAAUUACUGUUUAAUUA